AACUGCAGGGAGGAAUUAAGUACAGCCCUGUGCAUUGGGCUUUUGCUUUAGCAAUGUGUCAUUUGAUUGGUCCGCGAUCUGGGGGGCGGAGCGUUGGGCCGCUCUCAGGGGAAGCCGGAAUUACUUUGGAGAGCCCCGCCCCCUGGCUCCGCAGAUGGAGAAACUGAAGCACAGAGAGGUUAUGCAGCUUGCCCAGGUUCAUGCAGCUGGUAAGAAUAGCAUCGGUGUCCAUGUUCUUGUCACUCAAGAUGUUCUGUUGGGACAGCAUGCCAUGGGUCUUGAGGAUUGCCCUCUUCUUAGAUGACCUGCUGUUGACCUCAGAUACCUACAGAGACUCUGUUGCUGCCUGUCAAAGAUGCUGUCACCUUCCACUCACCAAAAGCGCCUCUGUUCUCUCUCAUCUACUAGGUAGCAGUGCUGGAAGUCUUGUAUGGAAGUGGAAGGUCUGAUAUCUUUGCUAAAUAUAUUGGCACCUCUGGUUGGCAAGGUUGCUAGUGUUCCACUCUGUUGAUGCAGGCCCUGGUGGUAGCACUGAUGUGAUAAAGAUUUCAAAGCACCAACAGGUUCUCUACUGAAGUAGAAAGGAUCUUUUUAUGUCUUUUGUCUUAUAUUUCUACCUGGGCUCCAAAGUCAUGCUUCCUGGUGUUGCCAGUGAGCAGAGAGAAUUGAGGGAAGAAGCUUUUUGCAGAGAUGGCUAGCUGUUUGCUAAAAUUCCACUAUGUAGAAUGAGUGCCAAGAAGUAGCCACACACAUAUUAAAAAAAAAUUCUGAGGCCCUGUACUCCACCUUUGCAUUUGGUGGAGUCAUAGGACUCGCUCACACUGAUGUGAACAGAGCUGAUGUGUCUGAUUUCUGGGCCAUAGAGUUUAAGAAGUGGUGUGUGUCUCCUUCACAUUCUUUCUUUCCUCUUCUGCCAGCUCUAAUACCUCAAGGAAUGUCAGAAUACAGGACAGAAGGAGCAGUACAUCCAUCUUGGACUGUUCUGGGAGCAAGAAAUACAUUUUCUGGGCUGGGCGCAGUGGCUCAUGCCUGUAAUCCCAGCACUUUGGGAGGCUGAGGUGGGCGGAUUACCUGAGUUCAGGAGUUCGUGACCAGCCUGGGCAACACAGUGAAACCCCGUCUCUACUAAAAUACAAAAAAUUAGCCGGGUGUGGUAGUGUGCACCUGUAGUCCCUGCUACU